rnacentral:rRNA from 1 species
GACGAACGCUGGCGGCGUGCUUAACACAUGCAAGUCGAGCGGUAAGGCCCUUUCGGGGUACACGAGCGGCGAACGGGUGAGUAACACGUGGGUGACCUGCCCUUAGCUCUGGGAUAAGCCUGGGAAACUGGGUCUAAUACCGGAUAUGACUCCAUGACGCAUGUUGUGGGGUGGAAAGCCUUGUGCGGCUAGGGAUGGGCCCGCGGCCUAUCAGCUUGUUGGUGGGGUGAGGCCUACCAAGGCGACGACGGGUAGCCGGCCUGAGAGGGCGACCGGCCACACUGGGACUGAGACACGGCCCAGACUCCUACGGGAGGCAGCAGUGGGGAAUCUUGCGCAAUGGGCGAAAGCCUGACGCAGCGACGCCGCGUGAGGGAUGACGGCCUGGUGUAACUACUUCUA